rnacentral:rRNA from 1 species
AACGCAGCGAAGGGCGAUACGUAAUGUGAAUUGCAGAAUUCAGUGAAUCUUCGAAUCUUUGAACGCAUCUUGCGCUCCGGGGUAUUCCUCGGAGCAUGCCUGUUUGAGUGUCGUGGAAAUCUCAACCCCGUCCGGGUUUUUUAUUCGGUAGAUGGGCUUUGGAUCGUGACUGUUUGCUGGCCUUGUAAAGAGACCCAGCUCGGUCGAAAUACAAGAGUGGCUGAUUCCCAAUCCGGCCUGACUCGGCGUGAUAAUCACACUUCGCCGAUUACGGAUGGGGUGAUAAAGGCUGCUUCCAAGAUAUAUUACUUUUGAACUAGACCUCAAAUCAGGUAGGACUACCCGCUGAACUUAA